CCUACGGGGGGCAGCAGUGGGGAAUAUUGCACAAUGGGGGAAACCCUGAUGCAGCGACGCCGUGUGAGUGAAGAAGCGUUUCGGCGCGUAAAGCUCUGUCAGCGGGGAAGAAACACGGUUCGCGAGAGCCGCGGACGGUACCCGACCAAGAAGCCCCGGCUAACUUCGUGCCAGCAGCCGCGGGAAUACGGAGGGGGCAAGCGUUAUCCGGAUUCACUGGGGGUAAAGGGAGAGUAGAAGGGGGGACAAGUCUGGAGUGAAAGGCCGGGGCCCAACCCCGGGACUGCUCUGGAAACGGCCUGGCGGGAGGACAGGAGAGGGAAGUGGAAUUCCUGGUGGAGCGGUGAAAUGCGUAGAUAUUAGGAGGAACACCAGUGGCGAAGGCGGCUUACUGGACUGUAACUGACGUUGAGGCUCGAAAGCGUGGGGAGCAAACAGGAGUAGAUACCCGGGUAGUC
rnacentral:rRNA from 1 species